CUAAAUUUUACUUGUCCGGAAAAAACAUGAGAAAAGUGACUUGCCCUGGAUAUCCAAAGAAAUAUUGAAGUAUUCUACAGCAUGUACAGUAAGAUUGUAUGAUUCUAUAAAUUGUUUUUUUUCUCACGAUAUAUAUUUGUGAUAUAUUUGAUUAUAAAUAUGUAAGAAUAAAAGAAGGUAUGGGAUUAAGACUAAUAAAACAGAAACUCAACAACAACAC
rnacentral:lncRNA from 1 species